rnacentral:misc_RNA from 1 species
GAUGAAGAACGCAGCGAAGUGCGAUAAGUAAUGUGAAUUGCAGAAUUCCGUGAAUCAUCGAAUCUUUGAACGCAAAUUGCACUUUCUGGUAUUCCGGAGAGUAUGCCUGUUUGAGGGUCAGUGUAAUAAAUAAAUCGUGGUUGUUACCACCUUUCGUGGUGACGCUUCGGAAUUGAGUAGUCUUACCUUCGGUUAAGUGACUUAAAAUUUUUUCAUACGAUUUCGAAACGUAUUUAAUGUAUUAUGUACGUUCACGAAUAUCGAAUGCUUUAUUAGGUGCGGUCAUUUUCAUGAAUUCGCGUCUAUAAUUUUUUUUUUUUGACCUCAAAUCAGGUAAGAAUACCCGCUGAACUUAAGCAUAUCAAUAAGCGGAGGA